AUAUUGGUCAAUGGACGAGAGUCUGAACCAGCCAAGUCGCGUGAAGGAAGACGGAUCUAUGGUUUGUAAACUUCUUUAGUGCGGGAACAAAGCGGCGUCGUGACGCCGGAUGAGUGUACCGCAAGAAUAAGCAUCGGCUAACUCCGUGCCAGCAGCCGCGGUAAUACGGAGGAUGCGAGCGUUAUCCGGAUUUAUUGGGUUUAAAGGGAGCGCAGGCUGCGAGGCAAGUCAGCGGUCAAAUGUCGGGGCUCAACCCCGGCCUGCCGUUGAAACUGUCCUGCUAGAGUUCGAGUGAGGUAUGCGGAAUGCGUUGUGUAGCGGUGAAAUGCAUAGAUAUGACGCAGAACUCCGAUUGCGAAGGCAGCAUACCAACUCGCGACUGACGCUGAGGCUCGAAAGCGUGGGUAUCGAACAGGAUUAGAUACCCUGGUAGUCCACGCAGUAAACGAUGAAUACUAACUGUUCGGAGGGCGACCUCUGAGUGGUAAAGCGAAAGCGUUAAGUAUUCCACCUGGGGAGUACGCCGGCAACGGUGAAACUCAAAGGAAUUGACGGGGGCCCGCACAAGCGGAGGAACAUGUGGUUUAAUUCGAUGAUACGCGAGGAACCUUACCCGGGCUUAAAUUGCAGAUGAAUUACGGUGAAAGCCGUAAGCCGCAAGGCAUCUGUGAAGGUGCUGCAUGGUUGUCGUCAGCUCGUGCCGUGAGGUGUCGGCUUAAGUGCCAUAACGAGCGCAACCCCCGCGUCCAGUUGCCAGCGAGUGAAGUCGGGCACUCUGGACGGACUGCCGGCGCAAGCCGCGAGGAAGGCGGGGAUGACGUCAAAUCAGCACGGCCCUUACGUCCGGGGCGACACACGUGUUACAAUGGCGUGGAACAGAGGGAAGCCACCUGGCGACAGGGAGCGGAACCCGAAAACACGUCUCAGUUCGGAUUGGAGUCUGCAACUCGACUCCAUGAAGCUGGAUUCGCUAGUAAUCGCGCAUCAGCCAUGGCGCGGUGAAUACGUUCCCGGGCCUUGUACACACCGCCCGUCAAGCCAUGGGAGCCGGGGGUACCUGAAGUGCGUAACCGCGAGGAGCGCCCUAGGGUAAAACUGGUGACUGGGGCUAAGUCGUAACAAGGUAGCCGUACCGGAAGGUGCGGCUG
rnacentral:rRNA from 1 species